CUUUUCCAAUUAAUUUGGACACCACAAUUUACUGUAUUUUAACAAAAUGUCACAGCGAGAAAAAUCCAGACAGACACAACACUAUUCACAUAUUAAAAUUCCAGUUCCACAACAGAAUAAAAAAUAAAUAUUCUUCGAACAAAAGAAACUUCAAUACGGUUGAAAAUAGCAGUUUUCGUAGCACUCCGAAGUGCAAAAGAGUUCAACGAGCGCGCGAGCUCUCUCUAAGCAAGCUACUCGUAUACUGAACCCGUCGCGAGGCCGUACACUAUCUCCCCGUACAACUUCAGGUACCUGAUAACGCAUACCUAACAACCAUCUUGAUACUUGGACUUUUUAUUUCUAAAUUUAAUGGUUUUUCAAUUCAGCCGCGCUCAUAUUUGAAUUGAGAUUUUUUCAGCGUGACCAAUCAGCGCGUACGUGGCGCGAGUGCGGUCGCCGCCUCGGAUUGAUACAAUCAUGGGCGAAAAGUAAAUGGUUCUUAAUAAACGAUGCACCGCAAGUGCACUAAGUUAACCUUUUUAUCGGGAGCUUUAAGCUCGGCGUGGGACAAUUUUAUAAUUAAAGCUAGUGCGUUUAUCGUGGACCGAGAGAAGUUUUACCGAGAAACUGUGGUCGAUGAUAUCUAUAUCUUAUCCCACCGACUUAGUACUACAAAAUGUUAAUCAAGAAGAGAAAAAUGGGAUGAAUAUACGCAUUUUAAUUAAAUGCAAUUUGUAGUGCUGUAAUAAAAGUGUACUACAACUACAUUAAUAAUUGGAAAGACUGAAACUAUAACAAUUAAAUAGAAGUUGAUAACGGAAGGGAGCGAGCGUAACGGGAAGGAGCGACGGCGGAGGAGGAAGGAGCGACAAUUAAAAAGAGUGUAAUGCGCGUAUAGUCCCACGGUUUGUUACCGUUAUCGUAAACAUAGCUAAUGAAAACUAGGAAAUAUUUUACUAUGUGUGGUGCAAGCGAUAACGUGAAGCGGUUUUUAUGUUGCAUAAGGAUUUGAAU